UGGUCAUUUACUGACGAAACUUCGGUUCUAACCGAACUUGUUCAGCAGCCAGUCGUCAUGCCUUUAAACCACAAACAAGCGCGGAAAAGUUCAACUAAAAAUACAACUUGAAACAGGAACGGGGAGGGCAGGGGCGGGGCGAUUCGGGGCGGGAGAGCCACGAUGACUGACACGCAAAAUCGUGCGCGCGCCGACAAAAACACGCGCAGGCAGCGCGGCACUCCACAACGACAGCCAAUAACAUCGCGACUUCUGCAUUAACCCCGCCUCCCCAUCGUGUCUCCAAACACAAACCGCAGCAAACUUCGUUCACUCGCGGAAAGUGCUUGCGGCGCGAGGCUGCUUGGAUCAGUGAGUACCAGUAUGUUUUCAGAACUUAAUGGGAGACACUGACAGGCUUCUGGAUUCACAAGAAUAGACUGCAGUCAAGCUUUAAGGAGUGAAAUUGAUACGAUCGUAUCCUGCUGUGACACUUGGGAGAUACUUUUAGCCUUUCAGUCCAUGGAUGAAAAGAUUCUGUUGUCUUAUAAGACCGCCCAGCUCAAGCUUAUACUGUAGAAUCUCCAGGAGGAGCCAGGAUCCUUUUGGAGAUUUGCUGACAGCUGCAUAACCAGGCCAAUGGAUGUUAGCAGCGGAGAAGCCCCUCCGAAGUUCUUAAAGGUAAGUUUUGACUCACUGCAUCCCCUUUUCAACAGCACAUUUUGCUCUGCAUUUGCAUAUGUAGAGGAAGAUUGUAAAUAUGAUGAAAACAUGUGCUUAUCAUGUCAGUUUCACUUGUGACAAUAUAAUGCCUUCCAUCCAUCCAUUAUCCAACCCGCUAUAUCUUAACUACAGGGUCACGGGGGUCUGCUGGA